GACGAACGCUGGCGGUGUGCCUAAUACAUGCAAGUCGACCUUAGUGGCGAACGGGUGAGUAACACGUGGGUAACCUGCCCAUCAGUAGGGGAUAACACUUGGAAACAGGUGUUAAUAUCGUAUACUGCUGGAUGGACCCGCGGGUCAUUAGCUAGUUGGUGAGGGAACGGCUCACCAAGGCCACGAUGCAUAGCCGACCUGGGAGGAUGAUCGGCCACAUUGGUACUGAGACACGGCCCGAACUCCUACGGGAGGCAGCAGUAGGGAAUCUUCGGCAAUGGACGAAAUGCUGACCGAGCAACGCCGCGUGAGUGAAGAAGGUUUUCGUAUCGUAAAACUCUGUUGUUAGAGAAGCGGUAUCUAACCAGAAGGCCACGGCUAACUACGUGCCAGCAGCCGCGGUAAUAC
rnacentral:rRNA from 1 species